CAUGAGCAAGACCCUGACCAGGAGGAAUGGCUGGAUUUACAGGUUGUGGGCACAAAGGAGGUGGACACCCAGGAUUGGAACCUCCAGGGCACCCCAUGUA